AAACUCAAAAGGAAUUGACGGGGGCCCGCACAAGCAGUGGAGUAUGUGGUUUAAUUCGAAGCAACGCGAAGAACCUUACCAGGUCUUGACAUCCGAUGCAUAGCAUAGAGAUAUGUGAAGUCCUUCGGGACAUCGAGACAGGUGGUGCAUGGUUGUCGUCAGCUCGUGUCGUGAGAUGUUGGGUUAAGUCCCGCAACGAGCGCAACCCUUAUUGCCAGUUACUACGCAAGAGGACUCUGGCGAGACUGCCGUUGACAAAACGGAGGAAGGUGGGGAUGACGUCAAAUCAUCAUGCCCUUUAUGACCUGGGCUACACACGUACUACAAUGGCGUUUAACAAAGAGAAGCGAAGCCGCGAGGCGGAGCAAAACUCAAAAACAACGUCUCAGUUCAGAUUGCAGGCUGCAACUCGCCUGCAUGAAGUCGGAAUUGCUAGUAAUCGCGGAUCAGCAUGCCGCGGUGAAUACGUUCCCGGGCCUUGUACACACCGCCCGUCACACCAUGAGAGCCGGGGGGACCCGAAGUCCGUAGUCUAACCGCAAGGAGGGCGCGGCCGAAGGUAAAACUGGUGAUUGGGGUGAAGUCGUAACAAGGU
rnacentral:rRNA from 1 species